rnacentral:rRNA from 1 species
GCCGCGGUAAUACGAGGGGAGCUAGCGUUGUUCGGAAUUACUGGGCGUAAAGCGCGCGUAGGCGGUUUUUUAAGUCAGAGGUGAAAGCCCGGGGCUCAACCCCGGAAUUGCCUUUGAAACUGGAAAACUAGAAUCUUGGAGAGGUCAGUGGAAUUCCGAGUGUAGAGGUGAAAUUCGUAGAUAUUCGGAAGAACACCAGUGGCGAAGGCGACUGACUGGACAAGUAUUGACGCUGAGGUGCGAAAGCGUGGGGAGCAAACAGGAUUAGAUACACUGGUAGUCCACGCCGUAAACGAUGAUAACUAGCUGUCCGGGUUCAUAGAACUUGGGUGGCGCAGCUAACGCAUUAAGU